AUUGAACGCUGGCGGUGUGCUUAACACAUGCAAGUCGAACGGUAGCAGGCCUUCGGGCGCUGACGAGUGGCGGACGGGUGAGUAACGCGUAGGAAUCUGCCUCAUAGUGGGGGACAACGUGGGGAAACUCACGCUAAUACCGCAUACGCCCUACGGGGGAAAGCGGGGGCUCUUCGGACCUCGCGCUAUGAGAUGAGCCUGCGUUAGAUUAGCUAGUUGGUAGGGUAAAAGCCUACCAAGGCGACGAUCUAUAGCUGGUCUGAGAGGACGAGCAGCCACACUGGGACGGAGACACGGCCCAGACUCCUACGGGAGGCAGCAGUGGGGAAUAUUGGACAAUGGGCGCAAGCCUGAUCCAGCAAUACCGCGUGUGUGAAGAAGGCCCUAGGGUUGUAAAGCACUUUCAAUUGGGAGGAAAACCUGCCGGUCAAUACCCGGCAGCUUGACAUUACCUUUAGAAGAAGCACCGGCUAACUCCGUGCCAGCCGCCGCCGUAAUAC
rnacentral:rRNA from 1 species